rnacentral:rRNA from 1 species
AAUGAACGCUGGCGGCAGGCCUAACACAUGCAAGUCGAACGGAUCCUUCGGGAUUAGUGGCGGACGGGUGAGUAACGCGUGGGAACAUACCCAAAGGUACGGAAUAGCCUCGGGAAACUGGGAGUAAUACCGUAUGUGUUCGAAAGAGGAAAGACUUAUCGCCUUGGGAUUGGCCCGCGUUGGAUUAGGUAGUUGGUGGGGUAAUGGCCUACCAAGCCGAUGAUCCAUAGCUGGUUUGAGAUGAUGCACAGCCACACUGGGACUGAGACCCGGCCCGGACUCCUACGGGAGGCAGCAGUGGGGAAUCUUAGACAAUGGGGGAAACCCUGAUCUAGCCAUGCCGCGUGAUCGAUGAAGGCCUUAGGGUUGUGAAGAUCUUUCAGGUGGGAAGAUAAUGACUGUACCACCAGAAGAAGCCCCGGCUAACUCCGUGCCAGCCGCCGCCGUAA